CUAAAGUCAGUAUUACUAAAGUGGGAAUUUGGAACUUCACAUUCCACAAUUUUCACUGUUUUAAAGAAAUGAAACAUUUCAAAUAGGAUGAAAUCUAUUGCUAUAAAUUUUCAGGAUAAUGAUAAUCAAAUAUGUACUAUAGGUAAUCAAAAAAUUCAUGAAUUUCAUAAUUCAUAGGCCAUCUGAAACCUGCAUAUAAAAGGAAUAGUUAAUUAACUGCCAUUGUCCGGGAAUAUAGACAGAAGCAAAAACCUCUGAUCAGGAGCAAUUGAAUUUCAGAAUAUAGCCAGAGAAUGCCUGGAAAUAUCCUGCAAUUCUGACAAAAUAUUAGCUAUCUGUUCUCUCUCUGAGUGUCUGUGUGCAUUCAUGUUGUACGGAGAAUCAGAACCAAUAAGUAGAGUGAUCUCAAUCCGACCAAUGAAAUCAAAUGCUGAGGAAUGCUUGGAGAUCUCCUACAGAGCUGCUGAUUCAUUUCUCCUUAGCAAAUAAACAUGUGCUGCUGCAGAAACCACGUUACAGAAAAUGGAUGACAGGGAAUAAUUUACUUUAUGCAAAAUCUGAAUACAAUAGACAAAAGAAAAAAUCAUCCCUAGGAUUAUUGAAAAUAUCUGCAUCACCUAAAAUGUCCUAGGAUUUAAGGGCCAAUGUCUCCUGAAGAUCUCAGGUUGGUUGAACGUCCCUUUACUCAAGUUCACAUGAUCAGCAAUGUGUUUUUUAUAAAAUGUUGACCGCAGAAUCCACUUUCUAAUAGUCAUAUGUAACUCCUACUCAGGAUUUCUGCAUCAUGAUCCCACUUGGUGUUUUUCAGAAAAAAAUGAAAACUAUUGGAAAGAUUUUCUACAUAAUAUGCCUGUGUCUGAAAAAAUAUAUUCUUUUUGCAAUCAAAUUAUUAUGUUUCGUCUGUCUUCCUUAUUUUUAGAAUCUAAAAUUUUGUAUUAGAUACAGCUACAGAAGUAUAUACAUAAACAAAAUGAAGGUCAGAAAUUAAAGUUCAUAAUGGAGUUUUUGUCUGUAAGUUAUAUAGUCCUAUUGUAUAAAAUUCAUGUAGUCAUGUAAUGAUCAAUAUUCUGAAAAGAAUGUUUAAACUAAUGAAUUUCUGUGCCUCCUUGCCCAUUUGACAGAAAAAUAUAUGAUCUUAUUAACUUAUACACCUUAAUGUAUUGUGCCUUAUACAUUUUUUCUUGUUGUACAAAAAUCUGAAAGUAAUCUAAGAAAUGUUCAUAAAUAGUGAUCAAUUUUGAAAGCAUGCAUUCUCAAAAACAAAUAGGUUGGGUAUUGUCAAGUUCACACUAAUAAGAAGUAUGUGCCUGGAUGUCAAAGUGUGUGUGUGUUUGUGUGUGUGUGUGGGGGGUGGGUGUUAAAAUAAUAA